GAACACCAAGCCGUGGAAACGAGCAGUUGGAGCUUCAGGUGUAUAUUCAGAUUGGUUGAUUAACAAGCAUAGAAAUCAGCAGCGAAUCAACAAGCCUCGAGAACAGAUGGCUUGAGGAACUCUUUGAAAAGGUCAAAUAGAUCAAAGAGUUGAAACAUUACUCAGCAUAAAGACAGAUCAAAGAGUCGAAACAUGAUUCGGCAGAGAGAUAAAUCAAAGAGUCGAAACACGACUCAGUAGAGAGGACAGAUCAGAGAGUCGAAACACAACUCGACAGAAGUUGCACCAACUGGGUGAGAAACAUGCUCAUCUUGAAAAUUGACGACAAUGCUUUAGGGAUGAGGAAUUGACACAGCUAAGAUAAACCUCAUUCUGAUACCAUGUGAAGAGUCUCAGGUUUCUUUGAAGAGACCCUAUGUCUAUUAAAUCAUAUGAAUAUAUAUAUUUGUCUUUUAUAGAUAAAUUAUAGAUGAAAAAAUAUAUAAAUAAAUCACAGACACUUAAACUAUACCCAGAUUUACCAUAAAAUACAGGAUAUUAUACCUACACUUACCAUAUUUACUGAUUACCAUAUACACCUUUUGUAUUAAUCGAAUAUACAAUAUAUACUUUACAAUCUCUUUAGCAUCGUUACAUUCAAAUCACAUAUUAGAUACUUUAAAACGUCUUGCCCCCAAUCAAUGGGUUGUUCAAUUUGGAGUGUAAGGGGUUGUGGUUCGAAGUAGUUCCUUGAAGGUGGAUUACUUUAAAAUUAAGAAGAAGUGAAAUGGGAGAAGGGCUGGAGUCACGGUGGUAGCCCUCCAUACCCCGUGGUUUCUAUUCCCAUUAAUACUACCCCACUAACACCUUAAAAAAGAAAAAAACUUACUCCUAAAUUAUUUGAAAAACCGGAUGGAUUGGCUGAACAGUCAUUACUGGGACCCAAUCGAGCUGGUGAGUCGGUCAGCUAGCCGGGUUUAAUUGGUUUGCAUUACCGAAUAAGAAAAAAGAUUCAGAAAAAGCUUAAAAUUUCUAAAAGUAAAACUGAGUCCAAUCCUAAAAAAAUAGAUGAAUAGAUCACAUAUUUUGAUUAAAUUCUGAAAAUGUAUGGAUAUCGAGAAUCAUGUUCCUGUCUAAGUGUCAUACAAUCACAUUUCACUGUCUUAAAAUGCAGUAAAAAAAAAAAAAAAGCAAGAACCAAAAAAGUAAGAACAGUAAAAUCUAAACACUACCUAAGAAAAAUACAAGGACAAGAAAAUAAGUUAACAUACUAUUUAUAAAAAUUUUGGAUUCUUAAAAUUCUGAAAAACCUAAAUGGAGAAAAAUAAUAAUAAAUACAAAUAUUAUUCCAAAAUCGACUAAACACUCCUUAAGAGGGGCUGGAAAAAGAAAAAAGAAAAAAGAAAAUUAUUUAACUAAUGUUUACAAGAUGAUUCAGAUUUUCUAGAAAAAAUUUAGAAUACCGACAUCAAGAAAAUAAAUUAAAUAAAAUAUUAUUUGAAAACUAUCUAAAUCCCUACCCAAUACAACUUAGAACCAAAAACGAAAGUAUUUCUCUAAUGUACAAAACUUCUAUUAUUAUUAUUACUAUUAUUAUUAGAAAAUAAAAUUAAUAUUUUUCUAGAAAAAAUUUAGAAUACCGAAAUCAAGAAAAUAAAUUAAAUAACAAUCAAUAUUAUUUGAAUUCUAUCUAAAUCCCUACCCAAUACAACUUAGAAC
rnacentral:lncRNA from 1 species